rnacentral:rRNA from 1 species
UACGGAGGGGGCUAGCGUUGUUCGGAAUUACUGGGCGUAAAGCGCACGUAGGCGGCUUUGUAAGUUAGAGGUGAAAGCCUGGAGCUCAACUCCAGAAUUGCCUUUAAGACUGCAUCGCUUGAAUCCAGGAGAGGUGAGUGGAAUUCCGAGUGUAGAAGGUGAAAUUCGUAGAUAUUCGGAAGAACACCAGUGGCGAAGGCGACUCGCUGGACAAGUAUUGACGCUGAGGUGCGAAAGCGUGGGGAGCAAACAGG